CCGGGUGCAGGACCAGCCGGCGGGCGGCGGGAGGGGAGACGACGGUGCCUGGCGCGCGGUCCAGGUGGCAGGAGGCGCUCAGCCACUCGGUGCACGGGCCACGCGCGGCCCCAGACAAAGGCGGCGCAUUCCUGAAGAGGCGGCGGCCCCUGCAGGCGACCGCAGGCACCGCGUCCCGGAACGGGCCGUGGGCGCGGGCUCGAGGGCGUGGCGGCCCAGCCUGGCCGAGUCCCGAAGGGAGUGCUGGGCAUCGGAGGGGCGCAGCAGGCCUUUGUGUGGCCCGCCUCCUGCUUGCCCCUUAAAUCCCUUUGCUUGAGAACUGUCCUCGGCGACUGGCUACAAAAUCGAGGACCCUGCACCCAAGGGAGAAGGGUCUUGCUCUGGAUUGCUCAGAUAAUACAGAACAAAGAAUCUACCCAUGGUGUGUGGUCAGCCGAAAACUCAAAGGGACGGACGGAGAUUGCCUGGCCUGGCUGGCCUGGCUGCACCCCAUAUUCUGUCCCACGUUCCACAAGCAGUUCUGCAUCCUGAGAACCGUGGGACAGCCACGCUGCCGAGAUUGUCCUAGACCGAACCUCCCCUCUAAUUCAUGCCCUUGGGCACCAGACCUGGCUUUUGGAUGAGACAGAGCUCCCAAAAGCUGGUUCUGGGGGCUGAGCCUGGGGUUUGAGACACACUGAGUAUAGAGAAUGCAUUUUUCCACAUUCCCAGUGAGGGAGGUCAGGGGCUCAUAUGGGGCUCUAUGUGAAGAUGGUUCUAAGAGGAGGCAGCAAACAGGCCUUGGAGUCUGUGGUGUUUUUAGCCAGGAUUCUGCUAACGGUCCAAGAUGACCAAGGUUUGCAGUCAGUCUUGUAUGCAUGUCUCCCAGGUUGUGGUGGACAUCCAGGGUCUCACCAUCCCACCCACCCUCUGCUCCGGGCCCCACUUCCUGCCUUGGACCUUCCCACUCAUGUGCUGGUUUACCCAAACAAGUCCCCCACUGUGGGACUGUGCUUGAUGAGUCCGUGUGGCUGAAACUGGGCUAGCCAAGGAUCCCAGAAUCCCAGCCACCACUCUCAGGUGGCUGGGUGUUAGGUUCCCGAAGACUUCACUCCCCAGGCUCAGGCUCCAUUGGAAUGCCCACAGGCUACUGUGUCCCACCUGUUGGAAAUACUGCUUGGACUGAGAAGCUCAUCAGGAAGCCAAGAACCAUCUUCCCUGCUCCCGGAUCCUUUCUGUGACACCCUUGUCUAGAACCAUCUACCGCUCUGGUGACGGCCUCUCCAGCUGGCUUGGCAUGGCCAGGUUGUUGGUGCCCAGACACACGUAUGUGUGCAACAGAGGCUGCACUUCAGCCCAUGGAGCCUCCCAUGUUAGCCAGGAACCUUAUCUUCCUAGCCUUCAGAGAAGGUCCUCUGCUAGGCCUCUCCCUUAGGCCUCUCCUUUGUCCCAGGGAUGAGGCCGAACCCAGGUCUAGUGCCCCGGACAGCACCAUGCUAGCCGCAUCUGUCUGAGGUCCAGGGAAAGGCCAAUGUGAUGAACCAGCUGACAAAGCCCAGUGUGGAGCCGACCCGCUAAAGGCCCGACUGUCCCUUGACUGCAUGGGUAUCCAUCCAGAGCAAUUCUGAAGGUCACAAGGCAAGAAGAAACAGAAGAGAUGGCUUGGGAAAGGACGGAUGAAGUAAUGAACACCAGUCAUGAAAGAGCAUUAUGGUAAAGCUAACUGUUUUUAAAUCCUAACUCUCAUGGAUUUUUUUUUCUGGUGAAGAAGGAGUAAAAAUACAUUUGAUAGUGAAAGGACAAGAUCCAACGUGAAGCUUCAACUUCUGUUCGAAACGGCUGCUCAACGGACAGAAGCCCACUCGGUGCCAGAGGCUUCGGUUGGAGUAAUUAUGGUAUAUGGCUUGUUUGUUUGUCUGAGACAGGCUCUUUCUACAUUUCCCUGGCUGUCCUGAAACUCAUGGUGUAGACCCGGCUGUCCUCUCACUUACAGAGAUCCCCCUGCCUCUGCCUCGCAAGAGCUGGGAUUAAAGGCGUGUGUCACCAGCGCCGGCUGCAACUUUUUAUAAUAAAGUUUUGUUUGUUUUAGGAAA